ACGCUCGACACCUACGGGAGGAGCAGUGGGGAAUAUUGCACAAUGGGGGAAACCCUGAUGCAGCGACGCCGCGUGAAGGAAGAAGUAUCUCGGUAUGUAAACUUCUAUCAGCAGGGAAGAAAAUGACGGUACCUGACUAAGAAGCCCCGGCUAACUACGUGUCAGCAGCCGCGGUAAUCUGAGCGGGCUGGCAAGGC
rnacentral:rRNA from 1 species